UCCAGCUUAUCGCUGGCGGUCUCCUGCGAGUCCCCCCUUGCGGGAUGGCAACACAGGACAAGGGUUGCGCUCGUUGCGGGACUUAACCCAACAUCUCACGACACGAGCUGACGACAGCCAUGCAGCACCUGUGCACGGACUCCGAAGAGGGGCCGAUGUUUCCACCGGCUUUCCCGUGCAUGUCAAGCCCAGGUAAGGUUCUUCGCGUUGCUUCGAAUUGAACCACAUGCUUCACCGCUUGUGCGGGCCCCCGUCAAUUCCUUUGAGUUUCAGCCUUGCGGCCGUACUCCCCAGGCGGGGUACUUAUUGCGUUAGCGACGGCACUGAAGGGGUCGCUCCCCCCAGCGCCUAGUACCCAUCGUUUACGGCGUGGACUAC
rnacentral:misc_RNA from 1 species